rnacentral:rRNA from 1 species
UACGUAGGUGGCAAGCGUUGUCCGGAAUUACUGGGUGUAAAGCGCGUGUAGGCGGGAGGCCAAGUCUGCUGUGAAAUCGCUCGGCUCAACUGGGCGAGGUCGGUGGAAACUGGUCCCCUGGAGGACGGUAGAGGCGAGUGGAAUUCCCGGUGUAGUGGUGAAAUGCGUAGAGAUCGGGAGGAACACCAGUGGCGAAGGCGACACGCUGGGCCGUACCUG